GUGCCAGCAGCCGCGGUAAUUCCAUGUCUCCAAUAGCGUAUAUUAAAGUUGUUGUGGUUAAAAAGCUCGUAGUUGAACCUUGGGCCUGGCUGGCCGGUCCGCCUCACCGCGUGCACUGGUCCGGCCGGGCCUUUCCCUCUGUGGAACCCCAUACCCUUCACCGGGCGUGGCGGGGAAACAGGACAUUUACUUUGAAAAAAUUAGAGUGCUCCAGGCAGGCCUAUGCUCGAAUACAUUAGCAUGGAAUAAUAAAAUAGGACGCGCGGUUCUAUUUUGUUGGUUUAUAGGACCGCCGUAAUGAUUAAUAGGGACAGUCGGGGGCAUCAGUAUUCAACUGUCAGAGGUGAAAUUCUUGGAUCAGUUGAAGACUAACUACUGCGAAAGCAUUUGCCAAGGAUGUUUUCAUUAAUCAGGAACGAAAGUUAGGGGAUCGAAGACGAUCAGAUACCGUCGUAGUCUUAACCAUAAACUAUGCCGACUAGGGAUCGGACGGUGUCAUUCAUGACCCGUUCGGCACCUUACGAGAAAUCAAAGUGCUUGGGCUCCAGGGGGAGUAUGGUCGCAAGGCUGAAACUUAAAGAAAUUGACGGAAGGGCACCACCAGGGGUGUAGCCUGCGGCUUAAUUUGACUCAACACGGGGAAACUCACCAGGUCCAGACACAAUAAGGAUUGACAGAUUGAGAGCUCUUUCUUGAUUUGUGGGUUGGUGGUGCAUGGCCGUUCUUAGUUGGUGGGGGUGACUUGUCUGCUUAAUUGCGAUAACGAACGAGACCUUAACCUGCUAAAUAGCCCGCAUUGCUCCGGCAGUGCGCUGGCUUCUUAGAGGGGACUUUCGGCUCAAGCCGGAAGGAAAGUUGAAGGCAAUAACAGGU
rnacentral:rRNA from 1 species